AACGAACGCUGGCGGCAUGCCUAACACAUGCAAGUCGAACGAGACCUUCGGGUCUAGUGGCGCACGGGUGCUUAACGCGUGGGAACCUGCCCUUAGGUUCGGAAUAACUCCCCGAAAGGGGUGCUAAUACCGGAUAAUGUCUCCGGACCAAAGAGUUAUCGCCUUUGGAUGGGCCGGCGUUGGAUUAGCUAGUUGGUAGGGUAAAAGCCUACCAAGGCGACGAUACAUAUCUGGUGUGUGAGGAUGAUCAGCCACACUGGGACUGAGACACGGCCCAGACUCUUACGGGAUGCAGGAGUGGGGAAUAUUGGACAAUGGGGGAAAGCCUGAUCCAGCAAUGCCGCGUGAGUGAUGAAGGCCUUAGGGUUGUAAAGCUCUUUUACCCGGGAUGAUAAUGACAGUACCGGGAGAAUAAGCUCCGGCUAACUCCGUG
rnacentral:rRNA from 1 species